rnacentral:rRNA from 1 species
GAAUAUUGGACAAUGGGCGAAAGCCUGAUCCAGCAAUGCCGCGUGUGUGAAGAAGGCCUGCGGGUUGUAAAGCACUUUCAGUAGAGAAGAAAAGCCUGCGGUUAAUAACCGCGAGUCUUGACGUAACCUACAGAAGAAGCACCGGCCAACCCCGUGCCAGCAGCCGCGGUAAUACGGAGGGUGCAAGCGUUAAUCGGAAUUACUGGGCGUAAAGCGCGCGUAGGCGGUUUGGUAAGUCGGUUGUGAAAGACCCGGGCUUAAACUGGGAAUUGCAGUCGAUACUGCCUGACUAGAGUAUGGUAGAGGGAAGUGGAAUUUCCGGUGUAGCGGUAAAAUGCGUAGAUAUCGGAAGGAACACCAGGGGCGAAGGCGACUUCCUGGGCCAAUACUGACGCUGAGGUGCGAAAGCGUGGGGAGCAAACAGG